rnacentral:rRNA from 1 species
AGAUUGAACGCUGGCGGCAGGCCUAACACAUGCAAGUCGAGCGGUAGAGAGGUGCUUGCACCUCUUGAGAGCGGCGGACGGGUGAGUAAUGCCUAGGAAUCUGCCUAGUGGUGGGGGAUAACGUUCGGAAACGGACGCUAAUACCGCAUACGUCCUACGGGAGAAAGCGGGGGACCUUCGGGCCUCGCGCCAUUAGAUGAGCCUAGGUCGGAUUAGCUAGUUGGUGAGGUAAUGGCUCACCAAGGCGACGAUCCGUAACUGGUCUGAGAGGAUGAUCAGUCACACUGGAACUGAGACACGGUCCAGACUCCUACGGGAGCAGCAGUGGGGGAAUAUUGGACAAGUGGGACGAAAGCCUGAUCCAGCCAUGCCGCGUGUG